GACGAACGCUGGCGGCGUGCCUAAUACAUGCAAGUCGAACGGUCUUUUCUAUGGAAGCUUGCUUCCACUGAGAAGAUAGUGGCGAACGGGUGAGUAACACGUGGGUAACCUGCCCAUAAGAGGGGGAUAACAUCCGGAAACGGGUGCUAAUACCGCAUAGUUUUCUUGAACGCAUGAUUGAGAAAGGAAGGACGGCCUUUGUGCUGUCGCUUAUGGAUGGACCCGCGGCGUAUUAGUUAGUUGGUGAGGUAACGGCUCACCAAGACGAUGAUACGUAGCCGACCUGAGAGGGUGAUCGGCCACAUUGGGACUGAGACACGGCCCAAACUCCUACGGGAGGCAGCAGUAGGGAAUCUUCCGCAAUGGACGAAAGUCUGACGGAGCAACGCCGCGUGAGUGAAGAAGGUUUUCGGAUCGUAAAACUCUGUUGUCAGAGAAGAACAAGUUGGAGAGUAACUGCUCCAGCCUUGACGGUAUCCGACCAGAAAGCCACGGCUAACUACGUGCCAGCCGCCGCCGUAAAAC
rnacentral:rRNA from 1 species